UAGCAUCCAUGCCGGCUAAGGUUAUGUCCACCACAUCAGAGAACAGGCUCAUGGCAUCAGCACUUGAUUAUGUGCUAUGUGGUCUUAAAAUUGAUUUGUGAGAGAACCUUGCUUCUAGAAUAAGAUGGAAUCCAGGACACAGAAGCCUGCUGUCUUUGAAAAUGCUGCUUACUACAUCUGGCAUCCUGGUACUUGGCUGCAUCCAACUUUAUAAAGAACAGUGCCUGGUACGCAGAAGGCCUUCAGUAAAUGGAUGAACAACAUGAAUGGAAGAUGUAUUUGUUCAUGGAAGGACUUAUACUGAUCUUCUUUAGAUCUCUACAGUUCGGAACACAUUAGCUUGA